UGAAACCUACGGGACGCAGCAGUGGGGAAUUUUGGACAAUGGGCGCAAGCCUGAUCCAGCUAUUCCGCGUGUGGGAUGACGGCCCUCGGGUUGUAAACCACUUUAGUAGAGAACGAAAAGGAGCUAUCGAAUAAAUAGCUCUGCUGACGGUACUCUAAGAAUAAGCACCGGCUAACUACGUGCCAGCAGCCGCGGUAAUACGUAGGGUGCGAGCGUUAAUCGGAAUUACUGGGCGUAAAGGGUGUGCAGGAGGCUGAGUAAGAAAGAUGGGAAAUCCCCGGGCUUAACCUGGGAACCGCAUAUGG
rnacentral:rRNA from 1 species